UCUUGACCCUACUUCCCUUUCUUGCAGUUGGUGUGCAAUGCCCAUACAAUUUGUGACAGUGAACUGAGACCCUUGGGAACAGGGAUAUAUCCUGUGAUUUCUAUCAUAAACCAUAGUUUUCUUGGCUGAAUUACUUGGAGUUGCAGCUGCGCACCAAACUCGGUACUUCUAUUUGAAGGAAAGUUAGCAGUAAUUCGUGCUAUGGAAGCUAUACCUAAAGGUGCUGAGGUCCUGAUAAGUUACAUUGAAAUUGCUGGAAGCACUGAGACUCGGAGGAAGGCUCUCAAAGAGCAAUACCUCUUCA